rnacentral:rRNA from 1 species
CCUACGGGAGGCAGCAGUGAGGAAUAUUGGUCAAUGGGCGCGAGCCUGAACCAGCCAAGCCGCGUGAAGGAUGACUGCCCUACGGGUUGUAAACUUCUUUUAUAAAGGAAUAAAGUGAGGCACGUGUGCCUUUUUGUAUGUACUUUAUGCAUAAGGAUCGGCUAACUCCGUGCCAGCGGCCGCGGUAAUACGGAGGAUCCGAGCGUUAUCCGGAUUUAUUGGGUUUAAAGGGAGCGUAGAUGGGUUGUUAGGUCAGUUGUGAAAGCUUGCGGCUCAACCGUAAAAUUGCAAUGGAUACUGGCAGCCUUGAGUACAGUUGAGGUAGGCGGAAUUCGUGGUGUAGCGGUGAAAUGCUUAGAUAUCACGAAGAACUCCGAUUGCGAAGGCAGCUUACUAAACUGCCACUGACAUUGAUGCUCGAAAGUGUGGGUAUCAAACAGGAUUAGAUACCCCAGUAGUC